rnacentral:rRNA from 1 species
UACGAGAGGCCCAAACGUUAUUCGGAUUUACUGGGCUUAAAGAGUUCGUAGGCGGCGCAGAAAGUGGGGUGUGAAAGCCCUCGGCUCAACCGAGGAAUUGCGCUCCAAACUACUGUGCUAGAGGAAGCUAGAGGUGAGCAGAACAGAUGGUGGAGCGGUGAAAUGCGUUGAUAUCAUCUGGAAUACCGGAGGCGAAGGCGGCUCACUGGUCCAUUACUGACGCUGAGGUGCGAAAGCGUGGGGAGCGAACAGG